rnacentral:rRNA from 1 species
UACGUAGGUGGCAAGCGUUGUCCGGAUUUACUGGGUGUAAAGGGCGUGUAGGCGGAGCUGCAAGUCAGAUGUGAAAUCCCGGGGCUCAACCCCGGAACUGCAUUUGAAACUGUAGCCCUUGAGUAUCGGAGAGGCAGGCGGAAUUCCUAGUGUAGCGGUGAAAUGCGUAGAUAUUAGGAGGAACACCAGUGGCGAAGGCGGCCUGCUGGACGACAACUGACGCUGAGGCGCGAAAGCGUGGGGAGCAA